AAUUUUAAGUAGGACAAUUUUGAAAGAUUUGUCUUUAUUCAUAACAUUAAAAAUCUCUGAAAAACUCAAAAUUUGUAUUGAAGGAGGAUUUUGAAGGGUUAGACAAAUUGUUUAAAUAUAAUUUUUUUAUAGUAUUUCAAAAAUUAAAAAUAUAUUAGUGAUAAAUAUUAUUUUAUCAUUCUAAAUAAAACAAUUAAAAAAAAUUUUAAAAAAAAUGUUUUAAAAAAAUUAUUGGCUUAAAUGCACUAUUAGUAAGGGUAUUGCAAAAGUUAACUUUUA
rnacentral:lncRNA from 1 species